rnacentral:rRNA from 1 species
UACGAAGGGGGCUAGCGUUGCUCGGAAUUACUGGGCGUAAAGCGCACGUAGGCGGCUCUUUAAGUCGGGGGUGAAAUCCUGGAGCUCAACUCCAGAACUGCCUUCGAUACCGAAGAGCUCGAGUCCGGGAGAGGUGAGUGGAACUGCGAGUGUAGAGGUGAAAUUCGUAGAUAUUCGCAAGAACACCAGUGGCGAAGGCGGCUCACUGGCCCGGUACUGACGCUGAGGUGCGAAAGCGUGGGGAGCAAACAGG